GAAAUAUCAAGAUUUCUCUAUUUUUGUCUUCCAGUGCGACUUUCCAAACAUACGGAGAUGGUGGGCUCUUAUUCUUCUGAAGAACUUUGGGGUUUUCUCUGAAAGUGCAGAAACCCUACAAGAGUCCCUUCCAUGUGAAGAACAAGCUACGCUUAGCAGCAGUGAGGCGGAGCUCCCAAUAAUCCGGCACAUGAAAGAAGCUGUGAAAUGGCUCCAUUCCAACAGCCAUCUGCUCAGGGGUCCAGUGGAAGAGCCUCUUUUCAUUCGAAUGAAUGAAGACCACAAGGAAAAGGCCCGCAACAAUCUCCUGGAACAGUCAGAAGCUUCCAGAGAGCCCUUUCUAUUUCAUUUUGUGUUCAGGGAUGACAUGGAGUUAUUUUAGCAAGAAUGUAAGGACAAAAUGGG